UACGGAGGGAGCUAGCGUUGUUCGGAAUCACUGGGCGUAAAGGGCGCGUAGGCGGCCGAUCAAGUCAGAGGUGAAAGCCCAAGGCUCAACCUUGGAAUUGCCUUUGAUACUGUUCGGCUCGAGACCGGAAGAGGUAAGUGGAACUGCGAGUGUAGAGGUGAAAUUCGUAGAUAUUCGCAAGAACACCAGUGGCGAAGGCGAUCUGCUGGGCAGUGGACCGCAAGGUCCAAUAGCCGACACUGAGGCGCGACAGCGUGGGGAGCAAACAGG
rnacentral:rRNA from 1 species